rnacentral:rRNA from 1 species
UAAGGAAUAUUGGUCAAUGGACGCAAGUCUGAACCAGCCAUGCCGCGUGAAGGAUGAAGGUCCUCUGGAUUGUAAACUUCUUUUAUCUGGGACGAAAACGGGAUUUUUAUCUCAAUUGACGGUACCAGAGGAAUAAGCACCGGCUAACUCCGUGCCAGCAGCCGCGGUAAUACGGAGGGUGCGAGCGUUAUCCGGAUUUACUGGGUUUAAAGGGUGCGUAGGUGGGCUUAUAAGUCAGUGGUGAAAUCUCCGAGCUUAACUUGGAAACUGCCGUUGAUACUAUAGGUCUUGAAUUAUCUGGAGGUAAGCGGAAUAUGUCAUGUUGCGGUGAAAUGCUUAGAUAUGACAUAGAACACCAAUUGCGAAGGCAGCUUACUACAUAUAAAUUGACGCUGAGGCACGAAAGCGUGGGGAUCAAACA